rnacentral:misc_RNA from 1 species
UUUCCGUAGGUGAACCUGCGGAAGGAUCAUUAACACAACUUUACCCAAUCUUUUAUCACACACCCCAAAGCGAACGAUUGUUUGGAGAGAGAGUUUCGACUCUUUUUCCGCUUUUUUUUUUCAUUACAAACCCCAAUUUAACACUUCCGACUGAAACAAAAAACAAAAACAAAAAAACAAAAACUAAGAAACAACUCUUAGCAACGGAUAUCUUGGCUCUCGCAUCGAUGAAGAACGUAGC